rnacentral:rRNA from 1 species
GACGAACGCUGGCGGCGUGCUUAACACAUGCAAGUCGAACGGAAAGGCCCUGCUUUUGUGGGGUGCUCGAUUGGCGAACGGGUGAGUAACACGUGAGUAACCUGCCCUUGACUUUGGGAUAACUUCAGGAAGCUGGGGCUAAUACCGGAUAGGAGCUCCUGCUGCAUGGUGGGGGUUGGAAAGUUUCGGCGGUUGGGGAUGGACUCGCGGCUUAUCAGCUUGUUGGUGGGGUAGUGGCUUACCAAGGCUUUGACGGGUAGCCUGCCUGAGAGGGUGACCGGCCACAUGGGGACUGAGAUACGGCCCAGACGCCUACGGGAGGCAGCAGUGGGAAAUAUUGCACAGUGGGCGGAAGCCUGAUGCAGCAACGCCGCGUGCGGGAUGACGGCCUUCGGGGUGUAAACCGCUUUCGCCUGUGACGAAGCGUGAGUGACGGUAAUGGGUAAAGAAGCACCGGCUAACUACGUG